AGCAGACAUUCAGUCACUUGGCAGGAAUACAGCUCCGCACAGCUGGCCUGGCUUCUUGCCCCCUCAUGUCUGAAGUCUGUCUUUGGAGAGGGGUUUCUCAGCAAGAAGGGCUCCUCUUUUUAAAUACAAAUAGCCCUGGGAGGCCGUCUAUCACGCUCAUCUUGGCUUGAAUCCCUCGCUCACAGGCGGAGAUGAAGGUCCUCAGACAGGACUGUGGUGGAGGGAGGCAAGGAAGGGGAUGAGGGAUGUUCGCCACUUGGAGCAUCACCCAAGCAGAGAACCGGGCCGGGGGCACCGCAUGAGGGCACGAGACAUGGCCACAUGAGGGAAACACUGCCUUUCUUACAUCCGGGUUUCAACAGAAGCAGGUGCCACAGACAUGAUCAGGAGGGGAUUCUCUAGCCCUGGUCAAGGGUCUUCCACCCAAAGCUCCUCCCCAUGAUGAUCUCCUUUGGACACCACCAAAUCAGCCUGCCCCACCCAGGUCUCCCAGGAAGAGAUCUCAUGGCUGGUGCCCUGAAAGACUGUGAGUCAGACGAGCCCAGGGACAAGCAGAGAAGGCAGAGGGAGGCUGAUGUUUGUGAUGAGAAUACGCCCCCUGUUUCCCGUGGUCAAACCCAUCCCAGCCACGCCACAGCACCCAAGAAACCCACACUCUGCUCCGCGUGGCGUGUGCUCAGCAUCCGUGGGAUCACAAUGGAUUUCUAGACCUGCUCCUAUCAGCUCUGUGACUCUAGGCAACUGUCCUGGUCUCCCUGAGCAUCACUUUUCUCCCCUCUGAGAUGAGGAUAAUAAUUCCACAUCUCAGGGUUCAUGUGAAGAUGGAAGUCAUGAAAGCACAUCGUAAACAGAAAGUGAGUCCAGCUCGACCGACCUUUGGUGUUAGUCCCAGAGAGGGAUGUGGCCCCUUAGAAGGUAAAGGUCUCUUUGACCAGUUUCGUUUGGGCAGCAGGACAUCCUUGGUGGUG